AUCUCUAUGUACGUCACUAGGAACACUUUGCAUAAUAAUCUCCGCCUACCGUCUUGGGAGAAACUGACCUCUGACCUGCCCCCCCCACACACAGACGCUCUGGUUGGUGUGAUAGCAUCAUGUCGAGGAGACCGUUUGUUUUAUUUUCACUGCCAAAGAAUGAAGAUCAGGAGAACCAAUGGCUAAAAUUCAUUUUCACCACAAUACCAGAGCAGUACAACAAACCUUUUGUUGUGUUCACAACAUUUCACUGAUGACUGCUUUUCUAAUCUCGGAUCGCCAUCCCAGGGUUUCUAGAGAUUACAGCAGCUCCAGACUGAAUCCAGACUCACUUGUGAAGACUUCAGAUGACACCAACGCUCACAAAGACUACAACUGUACAUGAACACAUAAUACAUUUGACACACAAAACAAAUAUUAUCCUUAUUUUGCCUAUAAGGGUAAAUUUGAUGAUUUUCAACCUGCUUUAUUGUAACGUCUCUUAUAUCUGUAAAUGAACAAUAUUUACUCUCUCUGAGUUAUGUGGACCUACAUGUCCCCUUUUAUUUGUAAGCAUCACUCUGCAGGAUGAUCCAAAAUGAAAUGACGAGUUUUGACGAAAUGACACAAUGCAGCAUCUAAAUGAAAACAUGCUGUUUUGCAUCAGUUUUGCUGGCAAAUAAACGGUAUCUUGGAGAAAGAAUAAACAUUGUUCUUUUACAAAUGUUACCAACAAUAUAACAAUACAAAAUGGAUUGAUUUUUUUUUUACUUACCCUUUAAAGAUGUUGAAAGAUAAUGUUAAUGUUAACUGAAUUCAAAACUAGAGACUUGUUUAGUAAGAUUUUAUCAGAAAAUAUUUUUGAAUUUUUAUCAUGCAAUUUAAAACAUUUUAAUUGCUUAAUUAUUGUUUGCCUGGUUUUAUUUUGUGUUUAUGUAACUCUUUUUAAAAAGUUCUUGGCAUAAAGUUAGCCUGCGCUGCUGACAGCACUGAACACAUGACUUUUUAUUAUGAACUAGAUGGUCUUCCUAGUGAGUCUCAGUCAUCUCUGGCUUUUUAAACUGUAACCUUGAAAUAUGCAUUUCCUGUAAACCUACUUUGAAAUAAGUAUUGUGAAAAAAGUGCUAUAUUCAUACAACAUUUAACCAGCAAGUACUGUAGGAAUUGUUAUUUUUGUUUUUACUAUGGUUUUAAUGCAAAAGCUGUAGUAAAAUCAUGGUGAUUGUAGUAAAACUAUGGUUGAUUUUGUUUUUUCUAUGGUUUUACUGCAAAAGCUGUGGUAAAAUCAUGGUUAAUUUUCAAAAGACUACAAAUAAUCCAGAAUUAUCCACUUUUGAUCAAAGCAUCUGGUAAAUGUUAAUGUAUUUGUACAUGUAAUAUGAAAUAAAUGAAAUAUUAAUAAAGUUGCAUCUGUUCUUGA